GGACCCGCACAAGCAGCGGAGCAUGUGGUUUAAUUCGACGCAACGCGAAGAACCUUACCAAGGUUUGACAUCGUCUGACAGACGUGGAAACACGUUCUCCUUAGCAAUAAGGCAGAUAGACAGGUGGUGCAUGGUUGUCGUCAGCUCGUGUCGUGAGAUGUUGGGUUAAGUCCCGCAACGAGCGCAACCCUUAUGAACAGUUGCCAAUAUUAAGUUAGGAACUCUGUUCAGACUGCCGUGGAUAACACGGAGGAAGGUGGGGAUGACGUCAAAUCAUCACGCCCCUUACAUCUUGGGCUACACACGUGCUACAAUGGCCGUAACAAAGAGCUGCGAAGCAGUAAUGCCAAGCGAAUCUCAUAAAAGCGGCCUCAGUUCAGAUUGUGGGCUGCAACCCGCCCACAUGAAGUCGGAGUUGCUAGUAAUCGCGAAUCAGCACGUCGCGGUGAAUGCGUUCCCGGGUCUU
rnacentral:rRNA from 1 species